rnacentral:rRNA from 1 species
AGAGUUUGAUCCUGGCUCAGGAUGAACGCUGGCGGCGUGCCUAACACAUGCAAGUCGAGCGAUUCUCUUCGGAGAAGAGCGGCGGACGGGUGAGUAACGCGUGGGUAACCUGCCUCAUACACAUGGAUAACAUACCGAAAGGUAUGCUAAUACAAGAUGAUAUAAGAGAUUCGCAUGGAUUUCUUAUCAAAGCUCCGGCGGUAUGAGAUGGACCCGCGUCUGAUUAGCUAGUCGGUAAGGUAACGGCUUACCAAGGCAACGAUCAGUAGCCGACCUGAGAGGGUGAUCGGCCACAUUGGAACUGAGACACGGUCCAAACUCCUACGGGAGGCAGCAGUGGGGAAUAUUGCACAAUGGGCGAAAGCCUGAUGCAGCAACGCCGCGUGAGCGAUGAAGGCCUUCGGGUCGUAAAGCUCUGUCCUCAAGGAAGAUAAUGACGGUACUUGAGGAGGAAGCCCCGGCUAACUACGUGCCAGCAGCCGCGGUAAUACGUAGGGGGCUAGCGUUAUCCGGAUUUACUGGGCGUAAAGGGUGCGUAGGUGGUUUCUUAAGUCAGGAGUGAAAGGCUACGGCUUAACCGUAGUAAGCUCUUGAAACUGGGAAACUUGAGUGCAGGAGAGGAAAGUGGAAUUCCUAGUGUAGCGGUGAAAUGCGUAGAUAUUAGGAGGAACACCAGUAGCGAAGGCGGCUUUCUGGACUGUAACUGACACUGAGGCACGAAAGCGUGGGGAGCAAACAGGAUUAGAUACCCUGGUAGUCCACGCCGUAAACGAUGAGUACUAGGUGUCGGGGGUUACCCCCCUCGGUGCCGCAGCUAACGCAUUAAGUACUCCGCCUGGGGAGUACGCUCGCAAGAGUGAAACUCAAAUGAAUUGACGG